rnacentral:misc_RNA from 1 species
GGGAAAACUUCCUUCUGCAUUUGAAUGGCAAUGUGAGUAAAAGGGGUUUUGAAGAUAAUUGUAUUGAAUUCAGCUGUUGAGGAGGAGGAGUAGUGGUUAGAUGCAUUGAGAAGCUUAGAGAAUACGAAGAUAAUGCUUCGGUUUCGGCUCUCUUGCUCGUCGGAAAAACUGAAUUGUCGCCGGUCUUGGUCGUCGGAAAAAC